rnacentral:tRNA from 1 species
UCCUCCCUGGUGUAAUGGCAGCACCCAGGCCUUUGGUGCCUGUUGUCCGGGUUCGAAUCCUGGGGGAGGAG